UUUUUAUUGGAUGUUGACUGUCACGUGUUCCAUUUUUAUUGGACGUUGACGUUAAAUAUGUACACGAAAUUAACAUCUAAUAAAAGCGUUACAUGUGAUGGUCAAUGUUC
rfam:Glycine max cultivar Williams 82 chromosome 17, whole genome shotgun sequence.